rnacentral:rRNA from 1 species
UUCCUACGGGACGCAGCAGUGGGGAAUAUUGCACAAUGGGGGAAACCCUGAUGCAGCGACGCCGCGUGAGUGAAGAAGUAUCUCGGUACGUAAAGCUCUAUCAGCAGGGAAGAAAAAAAGUCUUUGGCUUUGGACGGUACCUGACUAAGAAGCCCCGGCUAACUACGUGCCAGCAGCCGCGGCAAUACGUAGGGGGCAAGCGUUAUCCGGAUUUACUGGGUGUAAAGGGAGCGUAGACGGCAGCGCCAGUCUGGAGUGAAAUGCCGGGGCUCAACCCCGGCACUGCUUUUGAAGCUGUGCAGCUG